rnacentral:rRNA from 1 species
CGGUAAUACGGAAGGUCCAGGCGUUAUCCGGAUUUAUUGGGUUUAAAGGGAGCGUAGGCUGGAGAUUAAGUGUGUUGUGAAAUGUAGACGCUCAACGUCUGAAUUGCAGCGCAUACUGGUUUCCUUGAGUACGCACAACGUUGGCGGAAUUCGUCGUGUAGCGGUGAAAUGCUUAGAUAUGACGAAGAACUCCGAUUGCGAAGGCAGCUGACGGGAGCGCAACUGACGCUUAAGCUCGAAGGUGCGGGUAUCAAACAGGAUUAGAUACCCUGGUAGUCCGCACAGUAAACGAUGGAUGCCCGCUGUUGGUACCUGGUAUCAGCGGCUAAGCGAAAGCAUUAAGCAUCCCACCUGGGGAGUACGCCGGCAACGGUGAAACUCAAAGGAAUUGACGGGGGCCCGCACAAGCGGAGGAACAUGUGGUUUAAUUCGAUGAUACGCGAGGAACCUUACCCGGGCUUGAA